AGCAGUUGAAACACCACACUCACACACCCCUUACAUGCAAGCCCUGAAACAAAAGACCCCAAACAGUAACACAGACAGAAAUGGUCACUCUCUAAGUAAAAUAGCCAGGCGGCCCUUAAUCCCAGCAUUCAGGAGACAGAGGCUGGCAGAUCUCUGAGUUGGAGGCUAGCCUGGUCUACAGAGCUAAUUCCUUGACAGCCAGAGCAACUCAGGGAAACCCGGUCUCCAAAAUCCAAAACCCAGAAACAAACAAAAAACAACAAGGUAAGGCCGUCACUCUACACACCCGCAGUGACUCCAAGUCUGGUGUCACACACUCAAACUUGUAAGGAUGUAAUUUCAAAUUCAGAACCUCAGUAAGCUGACAGAAGCCAACCCCCGUUGGUGCGCACGCGCAAUGGUGUGCCGCAAUAGUAAUGCACAUACCACACACGCAGGCAUUCCAUCACUGUCACGCCCUUGCAGAGCCUUACCAUCGCCUCUCACAGACCAACCCACACCCGGGAACUCGCCUGGGACAGCUUACAGUUCCCUGCGCUCUCGCGCUUGCCGCACAUCUUGAAGCACAAGCGCAAAGUGGAAAGGGUUGCGCCGCAAAGCACUCUGGGGCUGGUAGUUCUCGGGUCGGAUUCAGCAGCUAGUUGAGAGCACCGGGGGCAGGCGUCAGCCCUCCCGCUCGCACGCGGGGACGUCACGGGCCUGGAUCACAGAGCGUGUUUCCAUAGCCUGUGGCACCGGGAGUACCCUGGGAGGCCAGAGGACGGUGUUAGAUCCCCUGGAACUGGAAUUACAGAUGGUUCUGAGCCACCAUGUGGAUGCUGGGAAUAGAACCCUGGUUUUCUGGAAGGGCAGCCAGUGCUCUGUCUGUUGAUUCAUCUCUCAGACACCUACUUCGUGCUUCCAAUUAAAAAUCGUUUUGUUUCCUGCUCCCCAACACACAUAUUUUGAGGGUUAAAAACAGGAGGAUGUUGGAGAGAAUUAUCUCUGGAACUAGGGAAUUUUAGGUCAUGGAGGUUUGAUAUGGACGUUUCCCUUCAGUCUGAAUUACGGAAUGGAGUCAAAGACAUUGUCGUGAGAACAUACUGAAACUGGUUUCUUUCAGGGAAGGAAAGUCCAUCUUCUUCCUUGUAAGGUCACUGAGUUGGACAUCUUAGUUUGUCCAUGUCAAAAAUUAUGUCAUUUUUGGUACUGAGACUUAGUCUAUAAUUCUUUUAAUGGUGAACCAAGUAAGCUAAGUUUUUGGUUUUGACUUUUGCAUUUAAUAAAGAAAAAUGUUCUCAUUUCAUUUUCAACUGUGAAAAUAGAAUACAAACAAUAAAAGAUACUGUGCACUAAG